UACAGAGGGUGCAAGCGUUGUUCGGAAUUAUUGGGCGUAAAGGGCGCGUAGGCGGCCGCGUAUGUCCGGUGUGAAAGCCCACCUCUUAAAGGUGGAAUUGCAUCGGAAACUACGUGGCUGGAGUGUCGGAGAGGAUGGUGGAAUUCCUGGUGUAGAGGUGAAAUUCGUAGAUAUCAGGAGGAACACCGGUGGCGAAGGCGGCCAUCUGGACGACUACUGACGCUGAGGCGCGAAAGCGUGGGGAUCAAACAGG
rnacentral:rRNA from 1 species